CCUCUCAAUGUUGAUUUGAGCGGCAAUAUACUCCUCACACGCCUCUUCCUUCCACAAUACGAUUCACAAACCCUAAUUCAUCAAUCGGCUCCUUUGAUUAAAUAGGUAUUGGGUGCGGAUCUAAACCAGACCCAUGGACAAACAUCCUAUAGAGAGAUGGUGAUGGCAACCUCAGAUGACGAUGGUGAUGACAGUGGCACAUUCAGGUACCAAUGACGAUGGUGAUGGCAGGCUGAGGCGAUAAUAGUGAUGACAACGGCAGACCAUUCAAUUCCACUGUCGCUCAUAUUUAAACCCUGUAUGGAUAGUACUUCUUUUUUUAAUUCUUACAUAAAUAUAAUUUUUCAACAAUUUCUUUGAUUUCAUCAGGUUAGUGAAUAUCAUCACGAUUUUUUUCGAUUUCAGUUUAUUCAAACUAUCAAUUUCAGUUUGUACACUGUUUAUCUUUAUUUUUUUCUAAUCUUUUUAUUGUUAAGACGCGGGCUACUAGCUCAUAAGGGGCUAGAUACUAAGAAGUUGCUACCGAUCUGAAUCAUUGGAGUUGAAGGUGUUAGUUUAUAUAUAAUAGAUUUUGGUGGUAAAUGGGAAUUGUGUAUGAAAUAAAUAGAUGCAUAUAAAAUUGUCUCACAGGUUGAUGAAUCUGUUGCAGAUUUUGGACUUUGGCUCUGCAAAGCCUGAUUUCGGAACUGAUUUUGGCCUUUUUCAUAUAAAAUUGUCUAAUAGGUUGAUGGAUAUGAGUCUUGAAGCAUCAUCUGAUGGAUUUGACUGAGGGUGUAUAUGUCGAUGCUACCGGUAGUGCUUCACUAUAUGUGGCCACAAAUGAUUCUGUUUAUCAGAUUUUGGACGUUGGCUCUGCAAAGCCUGAUUUCGGAUCUGAUUUUGGCCUUUUCAUAUAAAAUUGUCUCAUAGGUUGAUUGAUAUGGGUCUUGAAGCAUCAUAUGAUGGAUUUGACUGCAAGAUUGUGUUUUUGGAGGCAAGG